UGUUGGGGAAGACACAGAAAGAAACCCACCAAAGCAGCAUUUAACUUUAGAAAGGGGGAAGUACACAAAAAUUCAGAAGCUAGUUAAAUGGAAAUUAGAAGGAUCAGACACAAGGAUGAAAUGCACGCAAACUGCAUGGAGACUAUUUAAAAACAUCAUAAUAGAGACUCAAACUAAAUAGAAACCCACAAAAACAGUAGGAAGACAAAAUAAAUACCACCAUGGCUAAACAGCAGAGCAAAAAAAAAAAGAGAUGGUUAAAGGCAAAAAGGCACUCUUUAAAAAAUGGAUAUCAAAUCCUAGAGGGGAAAAUAGAAAGGAGCAUAAACUUUAGCAAGUCAAGUGUAAAAGUAAAAUAAGGCAGGCCAAAAAAGAAUCUAAAGAGAAACUAGCUAAGGCAAAAAAAAACUAACGGCAAAAAAAAAAAUUAUUUUUUUUUUUUUUUAAGUACAAUAGAAGCAGGAAGCCUGCCAAACAAUCAGUGGGGCCACUGGACAA